GAUCUACUCCUUCCGUUCUAAAUUACUUGUCGCAGAAAUGGAUGUAUCUAGACCUAAAAUACAUCUAGAUACAUCUAUAUCUGUGACAAGUAAUUCAGAACGGAGGGAGUACAUG
rnacentral:pre_miRNA from 1 species